rnacentral:lncRNA from 1 species
UCGUAAUCAAACAAGAACAUGCACGACGAACUAAAGAACUUCAACCAGAUCAAAGAUGCUACUACAUGUGCCCAAACGUUCGACCCGAUGUUCCCAUAUCAAAUCCGAAAUCCAAAGUCAAAUUUCCGAGAACAGUUUUCCUAGCCGUUCCAAGUUGAGACUUUGCAACAAAGUUUGAAACCGUUAGUUGGUUUGUCCCGGACUAGAACUAAUAUUAUAUGGAACCCAUACAUUUUCACAAAAACUUUAUUAUUUAUAUAAUACUCAGGUUCAAAUAACAUCAAACAUAUAAAAGGUGCACCACUUUCAAAUGUAUUACAUAUUACAAUACAUACUUCUUUGCAAAAUGCACAAACACUAGGCCAAGAACACUGCUCAUUCGCAACCCGAGAUACCUCUAUGAUUCCCUGCAGCACAAAGAGUCUAAUGAGCAAAUAAUUUUCUCAGUGAGACAAGGUUCCCUAACAAUUAAAUCAUCCACCCAAUAUGCAUCAAUCAUUAAAAAAUAAAAAUCAAUUAUUUCAUGUAACAUGCAAUGCGAAAAUAAAGCAAUCCAUUUACCCACACAUCCAUCUUUCACAAGUGGUUAGAUGAUCACCGAUAGUCCAGGCUUGAUUCUCGUCAUUUGUUCCAAUCUCCUCCGAUGAUGACGAUUGAGGCCUUUGUUUCUCCAAGCUCAGCAUCUCAUCCAACAAACGGUUGAUCUUGUGUUUGAUCUUGUGUGAUGAUUUGGAGAGAUUUCUCAAAACAUCUGAACAUUGACAAAGAAAUUUCUCAGACCAAAAAAACAAGACAUUGACGGAGAAGAAGAAAGAGAAGGUCAGAUUUUCCCCCUUUUUGUUUUAGCCAAUAACAAAGAGGCACAUAUGGAGUUUUUACUGAUUCUAGAAGUGUUAUAUUAAGAACCGGUUUUGCUCAUUUAUCUCAUUUUUAUUUUUUUGUUUUUUCUUUUAGAACUUCUAGUUAAAGCCACCGUUGGAGGUGGUCUAAACAUAUCGAUGCAAGCAACACAUGAACUAAAGUACUUAAGUAAUAAAUCCGGUUAAUGCGUUUCCCGUGAGAAAUAAUUUAAAGUAAACCAAGAGUGGGGUUUCAUGUUGAUACUUUGUCAGACCUAAUUAGGAUCUCAUUCACGUGUAAGUUAAUAUCAAAAACCUAACGCCUUAACAAACAAUAAAUCUAAGUAAUAUAUUGAGUUUGGCUAGUUAAGUAGAGAAUGGAUCUUAGAUCUGUUUAAGUAAUCAGGUUGAUGACAAGAUUUUUUUUUUUUAUAAAAAAAAGUAGGUUAACGAUGUACAGUAUUUGCAACUAUUUUCAUAUUUGUAUUGGCUUUAGAAAAUUGUCGAGUACAAAGAAAAUUUU